AGCAAAUGAAAGAGUGAGAGAAAAAUCAUCAUCCGUCACAUCUGGUUUACAUUAAGUCGGAGGGCCAUGCCUGAUGGCUCCUGCUGCUGGAGUGUCUGAGGCUUUGACGGUGGCUCUGUGUCGUGUGGCGUUGGCGUCCGCCCUGUGCCAGGCGGCGUGUGUGGUCAACAGGCGACUGGCAAGCUGUAGGGGACUGCGGGUCAAGGCAGAAGCCCCUUUGGUUCAAUGUUCGUCUUUCUCUUCGAUGACCCACUGCGGAAGCAAAUGGUCUGUCUUCCUGUUGCUGAGGAGGAAUGGAGCAGAGAAGAUUUUUCAUUCAUAUGGCUUCAACUUGAGUGUGUGUACAUGAUGACAGAUACAUAUUGGAGUUGGAUUGUGUGUACAAGUAUAUUGUUUAAUGUGUCCGUAUAUGUGUAUUUUUCUGUACUUAGAAUAUCUGUGUGCUCUUGAACUUAUAUCUUUGUUAGCAGUUUUAGAUUUAUACCUUGAAAGUGAGGACGCUUCACAUUUUGAAGAGCCAUUUGAGGGUUAAUACUUAAAGCUUAAUUGGAACUUGGGUCUUUAGUUUUGGCCUUCAUUCAUAUUUGUAAUAUCAGUUUCACUGCUAAAAAAGUCAGAUGUAGCAGGAAACAUGAGCAACCACAUGAUCAUACAAGUUUGACCUACCACACUGUAGUUGUACAUGUACACACUUUUCCUGUGCAAUGAGGGAC